ACUAUAUUAAAAUUACUGUAACCCAAUGUGCUUCAUGCACUAUCUGGCAUCCAAAGGAUCCUCUUUCGCCCAUGUUGGGGUUUUCGAAACUGGAAAGAAGACUGAUUUCUGCAGAGCAGCUUUCUAGAUGCAGCCCUGUUCACAUGUGACUGGUAUUUACCUUCUUUCAUCAAACAUGUCUUUAGAAUCGACUCAAGGCAAGAUGCAGUAGAGAAAUGUAAGAGCCAACUAGAGGAGCCAUUUAACUACUAGGUGCAUCUUCUCCAGCAAGUUCUUCAGCAUCCUUUCCAGAAGCAUUCGACAGCCAAGGAAGCAGGCUACGCCUCACCUACUCCUUCCUGGGCUAAAGAUCUCAGACUUAGUUGCUUAAUUUGGGAAAAAUAAAUUAAAGAAGUCUUCUAUCAUUAUACGCAA
rnacentral:lncRNA from 1 species